ACACUCUCUCUCUCCUAAACUGCCUGCUUCUUCCUCUCUCCUCAAAACCGAUCCAGUUUCUGCCUCUCUCUCCUCAACCUCGCCGCUCAAAUUUUCCUCCGGCAAGGUUCUUGCACAAAAAUUUGGUUUGUAAAUGAGGUUUCGACAAUGGAAGAGGGAGAAUCGGGGCCGUAGAAGAGGUGGAGGAGGGUGUCGGAGGUGGAAGCGUCAUUGAAACCGCCGGUGUCGCACCCUUGCUACUGUCGCAAUCGAAGCAUCUAUUUUGAAAUCCUUGGAAAGGGAAGCUUGACGGCGGAGGUUUCUGGAGAAACUAGAUUGACGGCGGCGAGGUGGAUCGAGGAAGGAGGCGGGACGGUUAGUCGGAGGGGGUCUUGAUGAACCUGUAUGGCACCCUUACGCUGACCAAGAUUGGCGAUUUGGACACUAUGAGAUGGAAGGACUGCAGGAUCCACUAAGUCGCUUCUUAUGGUUUAUUCGCCGACCUCUCAAACCCAGAAGAUUAUCAGAUCAUGAAGAUGACGAUGUUGAAUUGGCCUUAUUGCCUCUGGGGUCAACCGCUUGAUUGGAAAUUUCUGGUAUAAGUAUCAUCCUCAGAAUUUUCUGCUGAGGAACAUUCUUCUGAUAACAGCAAGGUAAAGUUGCAUAAACAAUUUUGACAAAAGAGAGUUCGUCUGCUGUGGCGUUUUCUGCUAUGGUUUGAAGAUCAAAGGUGACAAUUCUCAGUUUCUUAUCAAGAGCAAGAUUGUUGUUCCAAAUUAGUAAUUGUUACCAAGUUUGUUAAUAAUUUCUCUUUAAAGAUAUUUGGGCUGAUUACUUUAUGAGCAAUGUCGAUAUUUAGCUAGUUUAUUGUAAUAUUUACACUUAUGUUUAAAGUGUAGUUAGGUUAUCAACUUGUUGGUUGAUCUAUGGUGAAUUUGCCUUUUAUUAGGUUGUAAACUUUUUGACAGGUAUAUAUUAAUGAAUUAUAAUAUUCCCGGUAUUGGG